GGGUUGUGAGGUUAAGCGACUAAGCGUACACGGUGGAUGCCCUGGCAGUCAGAGGCGAUGAAGGACGUGCUAAUCUGCGAUAAGCGCCGGUAAGGUGAUAUGAACCGUUAUAACCGGCGAUUUCCGAAUGGGGAAACCCAGUGUGAUUCGUCACACUAUCAUUAACUGAAUCCAUAGGUUAAUGAGGCGAACCGGGGGAACUGAAACAUCUAAGUACCCCGAGGAAAAGAAAUCAACCGAGAUUCCCCCAGUAGCGGCGAGCGAACGGGGAGGAGCCCAGAGCCUGAAUCAGCAUGUGUGUUAGUGGAAGCGUCUGGAAAGGCGCGCGAUACAGGGUGACAGCCCCGUACACAAAAGCGCAUGUGCUGUGAGCUCGAUGAGUAGGGCGGGACACGUGGUAUCCUGUCUGAAUAUGGGGGGACCAUCCUCCAAGGCUAAAUACUCCUGACUGACCGAUAGUGAACCAGUACCGUGAGGGAAAGGCGAAAAGAACCCCGGCGAGGGGAGUGAAAAAGAACCUGAAACCGUGUACGUACAAGCAGUGGGAGCCCCACCACUAAGCCAGUGGUGAACUCCACAUACGCAUCCUUUGCUGAGGAUACGGUUAACGGAGCGAAAGCGACGUUCAACCUCAAAAGAAGCAGAGGGGGCUUAGUGGUGGGGUGACUGCGUACCUUUUGUAUAAUGGGUCAGCGACUUAUAUUCUGUAGCAAGGUUAACCGUAUAGGGGAGCCGGAGGGAAACCGAGUCUUAAUUGGGCGUUAAGUUGCAGGGUAUAGACCCGAAACCCGGUGAUCUAGCCAUGGGCAGGUUGAAGGUUGGGUAACACUAACUGGAGGACCGAACCGACUAAUGUUGAAAAAUUAGCGGAUGACCUGUGGCUGGGGGUGAAAGGCCAAUCAAACCGGGAGAUAGCUGGUUCUCCCCGAAAGCUAUUUAGGUAGCGCCUCGUGAAUUCAUCUUCGGGGGUAGAGCACUGUUUCGGCUAGGGGGUCAUCCCGACUUACCAACCCGAUGCAAACUGCGAAUACCGGAGAAUGUUAUCACGGGAGACACACGGCGGGUGCUAACGUCCGUCGUGAAGAGGGAAACAACCCAGACCGCCAGCUAAGGUCCCAAAGUCAUGGUUAAGUGGGAAACGAUGUGGGAAGGCCCAGACAGCCAGGAUGUUGGCUUAGAAGCAGCCAUCAUUUAAAGAAAGCGUAAUAGCUCACUGGUCGAGUCGGCCUGCGCGGAAGAUGUAACGGGGCUAAACCAUGCACCGAAGCUGCGGCAGCGAACGUAUCACUUAAAGCGAUUCAGCGGGUUACGAUUGACGGAGCGAAGCGACGUCAAAGCGUAUACAAAGUCGAGUCGGUUUAAGGAUACGUUCGUUGGGUAGGGGAGCGUUCUGUAAGCCUGUGAAGGUGUGUCGUGAGGCAUGCUGGAGGUAUCAGAAGUGCGAAUGCUGACAUAAGUAACGAUAAAGCGGGUGAAAAGCCCGCUCGCCGGAAGACCAAGGGUUCCUGUCCAACGUUAAUCGGGGCAGGGUGAGUCGACCCCUAAGGCGAGGCCGAAAGGCGUAGUCGAUGGGAAACGGGUUAAUAUUCCCGUACUUGGUGUUACUGCGAAGGGGGGACGGAGAAGGCUAUGUUGGCCGGGCGACGGUUGUCCCGGUUUAAGCGUGUAGGUGUGUGUUCCAGGUAAAUCCGGUUCACUUUAACACUGAGGCGUGAUGACGAGGCACUACGGUGCUGAAGCAACAAAUGCCCUGCUUCCAGGAAAAGCCUCUAAGCAUCAGGUAACAUCAAAUCGUACCCCAAACCGACACAGGUGGUCAGGUAGAGAAUACCAAGGCGCUUGAGAGAACUCGGGUGAAGGAACUAGGCAAAAUGGUGCCGUAACUUCGGGAGAAGGCACGCUGACACGUAGGUGAAGUGAUUUACUCACGGAGCUGAAGUCAGUCGAAGAUACCAGCUGGCUGCAACUGUUUAUUAAAAACACAGCACUGUGCAAACACGAAAGUGGACGUAUACGGUGUGACGCCUGCCCGGUGCCGGAAGGUUAAUUGAUGGGGUCAGCGCAAGCGAAGCUCCUGAUCGAAGCCCCGGUAAACGGCGGCCGUAACUAUAACGGUCCUAAGGUAGCGAAAUUCCUUGUCGGGUAAGUUCCGACCUGCACGAAUGGCGUAAUGAUGGCCAGGCUGUCUCCACCCGAGACUCAGUGAAAUUGAACUCGCUGUGAAGAUGCAGUGUACCCGCGGCAAGACGGAAAGACCCCGUGAACCUUUACUAUAGCUUGACACUGAACAUUGAGCCUUGAUGUGUAGGAUAGGUGGGAGGCUUUGAAGUGUGGACGCCAGUCUGCAUGGAGCCGACCUUGAAAUACCACCCUUUAAUGUUUGAUGUUCUAACGUGGACCCGUGAUCCGGGUUGCGGACAGUGUCUGGUGGGUAGUUUGACUGGGGCGGUCUCCUCCUAAAGAGUAACGGAGGAGCACGAAGGUUGGCUAAUCCUGGUCGGACAUCAGGAGGUUAGUGCAAUGGCAUAAGCCAGCUUGACUGCGAGCGUGACGGCGCGAGCAGGUGCGAAAGCAGGUCAUAGUGAUCCGGUGGUUCUGAAUGGAAGGGCCAUCGCUCAACGGAUAAAAGGUACUCCGGGGAUAACAGGCUGAUACCGCCCAAGAGUUCAUAUCGACGGCGGUGUUUGGCACCUCGAUGUCGGCUCAUCACAUCCUGGGGCUGAAGUAGGUCCCAAGGGUAUGGCUGUUCGCCAUUUAAAGUGGUACGCGAGCUGGGUUUAGAACGUCGUGAGACAGUUCGGUCCCUAUCUGCCGUGGGCGCUGGAGAACUGAGGGGGGCUGCUCCUAGUACGAGAGGACCGGAGUGGACGCAUCACUGGUGUUCGGGUUGUCAUGCCAAUGGCACUGCCCGGUAGCUAAAUGCGGAAGAGAUAAGUGCUGAAAGCAUCUAAGCACGAAACUUGCCCCGAGAUGAGUUCUCCCUGAGACUUAGAGUCUCCUGAAGGAACGUUGAAGACGACGACGUUGAUAGGCCGGGUGUGUAAGCGCAGCGAUGCGUUGAGCUAACCGGUACUAAUGAACCGUGAGGCUUAACCUUACAACGCCGAAGCUGUU
rnacentral:rRNA from 3 species